rnacentral:rRNA from 1 species
AAAAAGCACCGGCUAACUACGUGCCAGCAGCCGCGGUAAUACGUAGGGUGCAAGCGUUGUCCGGAAUUAUUGGGCGUAAAGAGCUCGUAGGCGGUUUGUCGCGUCUGCUGUGAAAACCCGAGGCUCAACCUCGGGCCUGCAGUGGGUACGGGCAGACUAGAGUGCGGUAGGGGAGAUUGGAAUUCCUGGUGUAGCGGUGGAAUGCGCAGAUAUCAGGAGGAACACCGAUGGCGAAGGCAGAUCUCUGGGCCGUUACUGACGCUGAGGAGCGAAAGCAUGGGGAGCGAACAGGAUUAGAUACCCUGGUAGUCCAUGCCGUAAACGUUGGGAACUAGAUGUAGGGGCCAUUCCACGGUUUCUGUGUCGCAGCUAACGCAUUAAGUUCCCCGCCUGGGGAGUACGGCCGCAAGGCUAAAACUCAAAGGAAUUGACGGGGGCCCGCACAAGCGGCGGAGCAUGCGGAUUAAUUCGAUGCAACGCGAAGAACCUUACCAAGACUUGACAUAUACGAGAACGGGCCAGAAAUGGUCAACUCUUUGGACACUCGUAAACAGGUGGUGCAUGGUUGUCGUCAGCUCGUGUCGUGAGAUGUUGGGUUAAGUCCCGCAACGAGCGCAACCCUCGUUCUAUGUUGCCAGCACGUUAUGGUGGGAACUCAUAGGAGACUGCCGGGGUCAACUCGGAGGAAGGUGGGGAUGACGUCAAAUCAUCAUGCCCCUUAUGUCUUGGGCUUCACGCAUGCUACAAUGGCCGAUACAAAGGGCUGCAAUACCGUAAGGUGGAGCGAAUCCCAAAAAGUCGGUCUCAGUUCGGAUUGAGGUCUGCAACUCGACCUCAUGAAGUCGGAGUCGCUAGUAAUCGCAGAUCAGCAACGCUGCGGUGAAUACGUUCCCGGGCCUUGUACACACCGCCCGUCAAGUCAUGAAAGUCGGUAACACCCGAAGCCAGUGGCCUAACCGCAAGGAAGGA